rnacentral:rRNA from 1 species
UACGGAGGGUGCAAGCGUUAUCCGGAUUCAUUGGGUUUAAAGGGUGCGUAGGCGGAAUGAUAAGUCAGUGGUGAAAGCCUGCAGCUUAACUGCAGAACUGCCAUUGAUACUGUCAAUCUUGAGUACAUUUUGAUGUGGGCGGAAUGUGUCAUGUAGCGGUGAAAUGCUUAGAUAUGACACAGAACACCGAUUGCGAAGGCAGCUCACAAAAACUGUAAACUGACGCUGAGGCACGAAAAGCGUGGGUAUCAAACAGG